rnacentral:rRNA from 1 species
AACGAAUCUUCCCCAAUGGGCGCAAGCCUGAGGGAGCGACGCCGCGUGGAGGACGAAGUCCUUCGGGAUGUAAACUCCUGUCAGGGGUUACCAAGUUCUGAGGAGCCCCAAAGGAAGAGGCGGCUAACUCUGUGCCAGCAGCCGCGGUAAGACAGAGGCCUCAAGCGUUAGGCGGAAUCACUGGGCUUAAAGCGUGUGUAGGCGGAUCGUUAAGUGCCUUGUGAAAUCCCACGGCUUAACUGUGGAACGGCUGGGCAUACUGGCGGUCUUGAGCCAUCUAGGGGCGACUGGAACAAACGGUGGAGCGGUGAAAUGCGUAGAUAUCGUUUGGAACGCCAAUGGUGAAAACAGGUCGCUGGGGAUGCGCUGACGCUGAGACACGAAAGCCAGGGGAGCAAA